rnacentral:lncRNA from 1 species
GAAAUUCCCGAUUUUGGGGAGGAAAUUCCCGAUUUUGGGGGAAAUUCCCGAUUUUCAUGACAAUUCCCGAUUUUGGGGGGAAAUUCCCGAUUUUUGGGGAUUCUCCCGGUUUUUUUGGGGGGUGGAUUUCCCUGUUUUUAGGGGUUUCCUGGUUUUCCGUGAGGUUUUUCCCAAUUUUUUGGGUGGAUUUCCCUGUUUUUUACGGGGUUUUCCUGAAUUUCCAGGGGUGGGGACAGACACGGGGACAGGGGGACAGCGGGAUUUGGGAAUAUCAGGAUUUGGGGACAGCGGGAUCUGGGAACGUCGGGAUUUGGGGACAUCGGGAUUUGGGGACAUUGGGAUUUGGGGACAUUGGGAUUUGGGGACACCGGGAUUUGGGGACAUCGGGAUCUGGGGACAGCGGGAUUUGGGGACACAGGGACAUCGGGAUCUGGGAAUAUCGGGAUCUGGGAAUAUCGGGAUCUGGGGACACCAGGCCUCCAGGCCCUGCCAGGCCGCAGGGACAAGGACACGUUUAGGGACAUCGGGAUUUGGGAACACCAGGAUUUGGGGACACAGGGACAUCGGGAUUUCCACCGCAAUCUGGGGACACCAGGCCUCCAGGCCCUGCCAGGCCGCAGGCGCGGGGACAAGGACACGUUUGGGGACACCAGGAUUUGGGGACAUCGGGAUUUGGGGACAUCGGGAUUUGGGGACAUUGGGAUUUGGGGAUAUCAGGAUCUGGGGACACCAGGAUUUGGGGACAUCGGGGACACGGAGCCCCAGGCCUGGCAGCGGCGAUGGCGCAGGGACAAGGACACGGGGACAGCGGGAUCUGGGGACACUGGGAUGGGGACACAGGGACAUCGGGAACUGGGGACAUUGGGAUUUGGGGACACUGGGAUUUGGGGACAUUGGGAACUGGGGACAUCAGGAUUUGGGGACAUCAGGAUUUGGGGACACGGGGCCAUCGGGAUUCGGGACCUCAAGGACAUCGGGAUUUGCAGGGCCCAGCGGCGCUGCUGGCACGGGGCCGAGGUGGCAGUGACACGCGGGGGACACUCGUGACACACUCGGGGGACACUCGGGGACACUGGUGACACGCGGGGGACACUCGUGACACACUCAGGGGACACACAGAGGACAAUCGUGACCAGCGUGACACGCUCAGGAGACAAUCGUAACACGCUCGUGACACGCUCGGGGACACUCGUGACACACCCAGGGACACUCGUGACACACCCAGGGACACUCAGGACGCGCAGGGGACACUCGUGACACGCUCGGGGACACUCAUGACACACCCAGGGACACUCAGGACACACUUGGGGACACUCAUGACACACUUGGGGACACUCGGGACACACUUGGGGACACUCGGGACACACUUGGGGACACUCGUGACACGCUCGUGUGUGGCCUGGGUGACGCAG